ACUUCAUUGGAGCAGAAAAUCUUGGAGGGAACAUUAGUACUAUUCUAAUGACAUUCCAUAGGAAUAAAAAUCCAAUUGGACCAAGUUCUUAGCAGUUCACACCUAGUCAGAAGUACAAAAUUGAGAACCAUGCCGAUCAGCAAGUGUUAGUUACAAUCUAAUGAGGAACAGGAUAUCUGAAUGGAAAAAUUGCAAGGUUUCCCACUUCCCAAGCUGUUUAAGUACUGGUAUCACAACAUAAGUGCCAAGAAGAGAUAUGAAACGGUCUCAAAAUUUUUGCUGGUGCCCCCCCGAUGCCGUGACCCACGGUACGCCACUGCAAGUCUUCAUA